rnacentral:rRNA from 1 species
GAUGAACGCCGACAGAAUGCUUAACACAUGCAAGUCAACUUGAACUUCGGUUUGGGUGGCGGACGGGUGAGUAACGCGUAAAGAACUUGCCUCACAGCUAGGGACAACAUUUGGAAACGAAUGCUAAUACCUGAUAUUAUGAUUUUAGGGCAUCCUAGAAUUAUGAAAGCUAUAUGCGCUGUGAGAGAGCUUUGCGUCCCAUUAGCUAGUUGGAGAGGUAACGGCUCACCAAGGCGAUGAUGGGUAGCCGGCCUGAGAGGGUGAGCGGCCACAAGGGGACUGAGACACGGCCCUUACUCCUACGGGAGGCAGCAGUGGGGAAUAUUGGACAAUGGACCAAGAGUCUGAUCCAGCAAUUCUGUGUGCACGAUGAAGUUUUUCGGAAUGUAAAGUGCUUUCAGUUGGGAAGAAAAAAAUGACGGUACCAACAGAAGAAGUGACGGCUAAAUACGUG